AGCCUAACAGCUAGCCUCC
rnacentral:rRNA from 1 species